CACGUAGGCGGAUCUUUAAGUCAGAGGUGAAAUCCCAAGGCUCAACCUUGGAACUGCCUUUGAUACUGGGGAUCUCGAGUCCGGAAGAGGUGAGUGGAACUCCGAGUGUAGAGGUGAAAUUCGUAGAUAUUCGGAAGAACACCAGUGGCGAAGGCGGCUCACUGGUCCGGUACUGACGCUGAGGUGCGAAAGCGCGGGGAGCAAACA
rnacentral:rRNA from 1 species